GACGAACGCUGGCGGCGUGCUUAACACAUGCAAGUCGAACGGAAAGGCCCUGCUUUUGUGGGGUGCUCGAGUGGCGAACGGGUGAGUAACACGUGAGUAACCUGCCCUUGACUUUGGGAUAACUUCAGGAAACUGGGGCUAAUACCGGAUAGGAGCUCCUGCUGCAUGGUGGGGGUUGGAAAGUUUCGGCGGUUGGGGAUGGACUCGCGGCUUAUCAGCUUGUUGGUGGGGUAGGGGCUUACCAAGGCUUUGACGGGUAGCCGGCCUGGGAGGGUGACCGGCCACAUUGGGACUGAGAUACGGCCCAGACUCCUACGGGAGGCAGCGGUGGGGAAUAUUGCACAAUGGGCGGAAGCCUGAUGCAGAAACGCCGCGUGCGGGAUGACGGCCUUCGGGUUGUAAACCGCUUUCGCCUGUGACGAAGCGUGAGUGACGGUAAUGGGUAAAGAAGCACCGGCUAACUACGUG
rnacentral:rRNA from 1 species